rnacentral:rRNA from 1 species
AACGAACGCUGGUGGUAUGCCUAAUACAUGCAAGUCGAACGAGAAAGCUCUUCGGAGUGAGUACAGUGGCGCACGGGUGAGUAAUAUAUAGGUAACGUGCCUUCAAGAAGGGGAUAACAAUUGGAAACGAUUGCUAAUACCCUAUAUGCCUUUAAGACUUAAGACUGCAAGGGAAAUAUUUAUAGCUCUAGGAUCGGCCUGUACGGUAUCAGUUUGUUGGUGAGGUAAUGGCUCACCAAGACUAUGACGCCUAACUGGUUUGAGAGGAUGAUCAGUCACACUGGAACUGAGACACGGUCCAG